rnacentral:rRNA from 1 species
GUAAAUUAUAAGAUAAUCUAGGCUAGCCUGAUCCCGGCUGAUCUUGGAAGCUAAGCAGAGUCGGGCCUGGUUAGUACUUGGAUGAGAGACCACCUAAGAAGACCAGGUGCUGUAGGCG